rnacentral:rRNA from 1 species
UGGGGAAUAUUGCACAAUGGGCGCAAGCCUGAUGCAGCCAUGCCGCGUGUAUGAAGAAGGCCUUCGGGUUGUAAAGUACUUUCAGCGGGGAGGAAGGGAGUAAAGUUAAUACCUUUGCUCAUUGACGUUACCCGCAGAAGAAGCACCGGCUAACUCCGUGCCAGCAGCCGCGGUAAUACGGAGGGUGCAAGCGUUAAUCGGAAUUACUGGGCGUAAAGCGCACGCAGGCGGUUUGUUAAGUCAGAUGUGAAAUCCCCGGGCUCAACCUGGGAACUGCAUCUGAUACUGGCAAGCUUGAGUCUCGUAGAGGGGGGUAGAAUUCCAGGUGUAGCGGUGAAAUGCGUAGAGAUCCGGAGGAAUACCGGUGGCGAAGGCGGCCCCCUGGACGAAGACUGACGCUCAGGUGCGAAAGCGUGGGGAGCAAACAGG